CACCGAGAGAGCUAAUUCAACGAGCAGUCUCUCUAUGGCUCCUCCGAGACGACCCGGUGACGUCAAGGUCUGCGUGUUCGAAGUUCGAAAUCCCCGUCACCCUAAAAAUCUAUCGUCACGUGCAUCAGCGAAACUUCUCCCUCGGUCCAUGCAAAUGAAAGCUCCUCUCUAUGUGAAGAGUACUCGUGUCACGAGAAGGCGAAUUGAUGAAAUCAGAAAUGCAGAUCAUGAUCACACAAUUGGGAUUAACGGUGUGGUCUGCGGAACACGGUUCCCUGAAAUCGAGGGGAAAGGCGCUCUUUUAUGGACUAAAAUUAGUGAAAGUAUAAGAUGACGCCAAAAGCAAGCUAUUGAAGAUCCUCUGUCCAGAAGAUCCUCCGACAUAAAAAUUACGUCGGUCCCACGGCCGGUCGUUUUCUCACGUUUCCCCGGUCAUUCGCGCGAAACUCGUCAUCGAACGUUUAAUCUCCUGCACUUGACUCGAGAGACUGCAACCUGUGCUCCACAUUCGGUAGGGGAGCCGAAUACACCCCAGAGACCGCUUUAAAUAAAUUUCAAUUCGAUAAAGAAGGGGGUUCCAUCAAGAAUAAAAGCAGCACAAGAUGUCGACAUUCAAUAUGACCGAUUAUGGUAACAAUCCAUGCAAGAAUUCGCAUCGAUUCUAGAGCGAAGAAUCCUGUUGAUUCGUCAAGGUACCUCGGCAGCUGGUCAAAGAGCGUUGCGGAUCCUCUCUAUAGAUCCUAUAUAAAUCGUACGGGUCUGCCUUUCUACGAGGAAACACGUGCCAGCCACAUGUUGCACAAAAGGAAUCCUCAGUGGUCCUUUCGAGUAUCGUAGCGUAAGUCGCAGUCACAAAGGAGCUUUAGAAGCCCAUAAAUGAUUCUUUUCCCGUCGCGGAGAUCGAAGGGCAGCAGAUGUUUUGUCGCCCUCUUCGAAGACCAGGAUGAUACAGUGCAAGAAAAAACUGAGAAUUUAUGAUUUCACCUUUGAUGCUUUCUUUGAAGCUAUUGCAAGUGCUUUUAUCAUUUUAAUCUUUGCAUUUUUAUGUUAAAUAUGGUCAAGAGGAAUUUUAGAAAAGCUCAGAAUGUCUGAAUGUUUACAUCUCACAAUAAAAUCAGAUAUAAUCAAGAGGAAUUUUAGAAACAUCUAGAACAUCUGAAUGUUUGCAUCUCACAAUAUUGCAAGUGGUUUUAUCAUUGUAAUCACUCUCUUUGCAUUUUGAUAUCAAAUAUAAUUAAGAGGAAUUUUAAAAACGUUCAUAACUUCUGAAUGUUUGCAUUACAAUUUGGAAAGCUGAAGAGUAUUUAAAAAAUUAAUAAUUUAAAAGUAAGAUGUAUUUACAAGCUACACGUAUAGACAUUAAAAAAACAAACUGAAUCAUAGUCAAGAGGAAUUUUAAAAACAUCAAUAACAUCUGAAUACUUGUAUCUCACAAUUUUGAAAGUUGAAGAGUAUUUAAAAAGUUAAAAAUUUAUACUUGAGAAUAUUUAAAAAGAAGUUAAUUUCGUGCAGGGGCUGGCUGCGGUUGCAUCUAAUCGCAUAGGCUACGAUAAAGGAAUGGGAAGAUUUUUGAACACGUGGUUGCGACCAUCUGUUAGCAUCCGUUUAACCCAACCUAAACCUCGUCCUCUUUUCUGCUUUCUUUCUUCUGAUAUUAAGGACCAAGGUUAACGCUGCAGAAUAUAAAUAAACGCUAAGCAUUUUCCCAGGUGUUCCGAGCAGGUAAAGCAUUCCUACUGAAGCAACUCUACCUGACCCACCUGGCUUUCACGCUGCAUUUUCGGCCGGACAACAGUUUCUCUCCAUAUAUAUAUAUAUAAAGGGAACUAGCUACCUAAAAUGUAUAAUAUCUAGAUAUGGACUGAAAAAUGUAUCCUGCAGAAAGUUUAACCUAAGCUAUAGUUUAUCUAUGCCCCCAAUCUCAACUGGGAAUCUCAAUAUCCACGAUUCUCGGCUUUUGAACACAUCGAAGAUGUCUCGAAGCUCUAAAACCGUGCUUAUCCCACUGGUCGGUGAAUUACGUUCAAAGAAAAUCCGAAGGAACGCGUCAUACAAGCCACCAUUGAAAAACGGGGCUUGAAAGCGACAGCUUAAAAACCCAAUAUCGAGGGUUCUCGUGAGGCUUAGAUAUUGCGUAUCAACUGGAAAUCUUUCUCUGUGGCUUUCUUCGGUUUCCUCACAUGUCCUCUGCUAAUUUUUUAUUGUUUCAAAAUCAUAAUUAUUUUAUUUACUUCAAAGUUGAAGAAACUACAUAAUUUUAUUUAUAAGAUAGUUAAAAAGACAAUUGUUUAACAUUAUAUUUUAUAAAUUGAAGUUAUUAUAAAUUGUAUAAAUUAUAAUUAAUUAUUUCAGAAUUUUAAAUUGAAUGUUGGAAGCAUGUCAGGAUUUUAAAAAGCACAGAAGAAAGCAAGAUACCUGUUCAUAAAUAGUUAAGCACAGUAACAAUGGUUUAACGUUAAAUUAUUUUAUGAAUUAAAGUUGUCACAAUUGUGUAAAUCAAAAUUAUAAAUUGAAUUUAUUUUAAAAUUCAUGUUGGAAGCAUGUGAGGAUUUUAAAAAGCACAGAAGAAAGAUAUAAAGCUGUAUGAACAAUAUAACCUAUGUAAAGAAACAAAAUGGCGACCACAAAGAGUGGAGGAUGACCAUAGGACAGGAAACGUGUGGCGAGACUGUUUCUUCGCUGGAAUAUCCGGUUCGCCACGCGUACUGCGUGUGUCUUGCUUGACGUCACACCACACACCUGCUUCCUUACAGCUGUUCCCUUCGUGGUGGCAAACUCCCUCAAAUAGCUUUGUACUCCCUCGUUAAUAUUCUUUAAAGAAUCCCAGAAAAGAUUGAAGAACUGAUGUUCCAUGGGAACAGAAGGAAGUAUCGCAUUGGGAACACACGGCCACCCCUCGACGCAAGGAUACGUGUUUUACAAACACCGCUGACCCACCUCGCAACAGAUGCAAGAAUAUACGCGCGCUCUCUCUAUGUCCGUCUUUUUUUGCUCCUCUUUUUUCUACUUCUGGGGCGCACACGCUGUCGUCCCCAGAGACGUUCAGGGAUGACGAACUCAGCCGGUUAACUAGAGUAUUGUUCGAUUAUUAUUUCGGUACAUAUCGCGCACUUGUUAUCUCUUUAUGCGGUCAUAUGGUGGUAACAAGGGUGCUUUCUAUAUGACGGAUCUGAGAAACCUUUGUUUAUCAUACUAAGUUAGGAGAUAAGUAACACCAGGAUUAGAUUAACUCAAGUAUGUUAGGUUAACCCUUUGUCUCAAUUUUACAGAUUUAAUUUACAAAGUAGAUAACAAAAUUUUUGAACAAAACGUAUUACAGGGAGAAAUAUUCUAGUAAUCUUUUUAUCUAAAUUAUUUAGAUCCAAGAGAAGUAUGUGUAAGCCAAGCCACAUGAUUUAUAAUUUAUUAAUACUUGAAUUCUAAUUAUCUGAAUUAUUUAUGAGAUCCAAGAAAGAUACGUAUAAGUCAAGCCACAUAGUGCAAAGGGUUAAUCCUGUUAGUUCAUAAUGAAGUAUACUAGGUUUUACAAUUUGUUCAUACUUGAUUUGUUACAAUUUGUUCCACUACGCUUUGCUUAAAUUUCAAGCAGAAUCUUUGAUCUUAAAUUUCUAUCUAUUAAUUGUAUUUGUUAAUAGUUUAAGUUCACUUCAUUUGCUCUCAUUUUAUACUAAAAAAAAGGUCCUUCAAAAAGUUUGUAAAAGUAUAAAAACCUUAACAGAGACAUGAAGUGUAUUUAUAACUGUAGGGGCUAACUGUAGGGGUGUUUCUGCAUCUCUGAGGUGGGGAGCAUUUAUGAGGGUAUCUAACGCGUUCCAGGGGUGUUCUGAUCUCUGCAACAAAGACUAGGGUUCUGCAACCUGUGUGGAACCUGCGUCACCUUACAGAGGUUAAUUCGCAAGCGAGUUAGAGGAAGCGUCUGCCCGUCGAGGAGAAAGGGAGGACAAUGAUCCUCGGAAACGAAGCAAGGAACAUCUGCUCCAGUCCGGAUCACAGCGUGUCCUCCUUCAAUGAGGCGAUCGGCGUCGUGAAACUUGUCCCACCUCGGCCGUGCAUAGGUAUUCAUUAUCUUCGUCUCUGGGUACACACUGCACACGCUUGAUCCUUUUUCAGCGCGACCUUUUUUGGUCCACGAAACAUCUGCGGCAGCUGCGAGGCGGUGGCCUGCCUCAGGACCAAGCAGAUCUUAACGGAAGGCACGUGCAGCGCCGUGGGCCAAAGAUUCCAGCAGCCAUCGUCCCGGAAAUUCGCUGCUCCCCGAAUUACAGGGCAGCGGGCUUUUUAAAUUAAUAAUAUAGACGCGCCGAUGAAAAUAUAAUAACGAGGCGCGUACGUAGUGCUCGUAGCCCGCAGUUAUAUACAACGUGAGCGAAGAUAAAAGAUUCCUCGAAAUAAGGCCGAGCAAUAACUUGGAAUCGAAGCUGCUUUACGUUUCGCAUGGGAUUGCUCGUAAAACUUUGGAUUCUCUUAAAAAGAGACGACGUAACGUGUAGACCGAAGGUAUACUUUAUUUCGUUUACGAGAGCUACGCCUCUCAUGCAUUUAUAUGUUUAUGUUUCUAGCACUGCUGUGCUGCUUUGAAACGCAUUAUGAAGCCAAAUUGUUAUGAGAAGACGUGUAAUGAUUUAUAAUAAUGUAAUAACAUGGUAAAUUAUUAACCUAACCCUGAAGUGCACAAUAAAUUAUUAACAUAACCUAAUGCUGAAUAACAUGAAAACACACUGACAGUUAUGUCAAGAAGCUUUAUGGGUGAAGAAAGUUUUAUGGGGCCUACAGAACCUUUCAUAUCAAGCAGCUGCUCUCUUGGGGCUAUAUCUUCAAACGUUUUGUACAAAGGGAUUUUGUUAAUUAUUUUUUAGGAAAAUCACUUACCCGUACAGCAUCGCUGCGCCGGCUAUGCCGCCUCCGCAUUGUGCAGCUAUGUAAAGUGCAGCUCGAAGGAAAGAGAUCCGUCGACACAAAGCGAAAGACACAGAGACAGCUGGAUUCACGUGGCCACCUGCGACAGAAAUAUUUGAUCGUUUUAUCGCAUAAAGCUACAACGCUUUUUAAUCGCGUUCUAGAUGCACAGUUGCUCUUUGUUCUUUUGGUGAUAUUCUUUUCAAAACUGUUGGACUGUUUUAAAUAUAGGAAAGAGGGAAGAGUCACUAAAUCUGUCACUUAAAACCUGGUAAAAAAAUCCAAGAAUUUUGAUGGAGAAUAUUUAAAAUACCCCAGUAAAAUUUCAAGAAGAUUAAAGCACUGUCUGGUUGCAGUUGAAGUACAUUCUUGAUAUACUUUGUAGUAGAGCAAACACCGAGGCAGACGCGUGCUCCACUCAUUUAUUAAACGCGUUCUCGAGGAUAGCAGAAUAAAUGCGAUCGUGUUUCUGCUUAGACGGCAACGAGAUAUUAAGAGGAACAUGAAUUCAAGCGUGUGAGUGAAAUACAUGGCCACAUUGUACGCACGUCCACGAAUAUAACCAAUAACAUAAGAGCUUGGAGCAAAUAACUAUGAUCUCCUGUGGUUCUAAUAUAUAUUUUAAGCUCAAACCUCAUAGCUUCCCAAGAAGACAACACGUGCGAAUUUAUUGAUCUGUAAGAGAGAUCCUUACCACUAACGUGUCCGAAGAUCAAGCAGAUCGCGGCGAUGGCAAAGCCAGAUGCGACGGCGAUGGCCAAAACAGAGAGACCGCUGCCGGAAACCG